UUCCCCUUCUCACGCUGGAGUAUAUGUUUACUGUUCGGAAGCAUUCGCCUUCUCACGCUUCCCGCUCUUUCCCGUUCCCUUCCCCCUCUCCGCCUCGCCAAACCCUAGCCUUCUCGAAGCUUCCAUUCCAUCCCGAAGCCUAGACACGGGAUCUCUCUCUCCCUGCCCCUACCCAGCUUCUUCGAUCCAUGGACCCCUGCCAGUGCCAGCCCCAGUACAAGAUCGGGGACCGUGUGCUCUGCAAGGAUGAUUGCGUGGCCAUGCAGAUCGUCAGCGCCGCGACCGACAGCGACAUCCCCCGCGUGAAGAGUAAGGUCUCGCGCCGCCGGAUCGGUUUCGGUAGUCGGGGAUCUGAUGCGGUUUCGAUCUGCUUCUUUUUUUUGUGGGGGGUGAUUGUGCGUGCAGAGCUUGCGGAGAAGCUGAGGAAGGCGGGGAAAGGCGUGAAGGAGGCGGUGGCGGAGCUCUAUAGCUCAAAGGACGUCAAGCCUGGGCUACUCCACAUAGCGGCGGGGGCUGGCAGGCUCGAGAUGUGCAAGUUCCUGAUCAAGGAUCUCGACGUCAACGCUCCAGCUGGUGACAAAAGUGCAAAACCUCUAUUAUAUGCAACAUUUGGUACUGGAUCUACAUCAGUUUUAAGGUGUCUUCUUGAUCGUGGUGCUAAUCCAAACAAAGAAAAUAAGAAUGGGACUACCGCGCUCCAUUAUGUUUCAGCAAUGCUAGGCGCAGAUUUCUCCACAGAGGCAACCAUGUUACGGGGAGCUACCACCCGGGGUGAUCCUUGUCAAAUGGCUGAGUUAUUAUUGUCCAGACGAGCUUAUGUUGAUCCGAUAAACAACAGAGGGACACCACUACACGUCGCUGCUGAAAAUGGAAAUGUGAGAAUGUUGGAAUUGUUGUUACGUCACCAGGCAAAUCCUAACAGAGUUGUACGCUUAUUCUAUACACCACUUACAUUGGCUCUCUUCGCUUCUUCAUUGAAAUGUGUGGAACUACUUAUUAAGGCUGGUGCUGAUGUCAAUGCUGGUAGGCCUGUAACACCAUUAGUAAUAGCUGCAACUUAUGGCUUAACUGAUUGCAUCAAGUGUUUAUUGGAAGCUGGUGCUGAUGCAACUAUUCCCGAUGAAUUUGGUAGAACGCCAAAAGAAAUUGCUGCAAUCCAAGGAUGGAAGGAGUGCGUUGAUAUUCUCUCCCCUCCCAUGUGCCCUGUAGCUAGAUUUACAGGCAGUGAUGAUCCUCUGCUCGACGAGAGUGAUGGAUGUUCGUUGGACGGGGAUGCUGCAUUCAAGCAAAAGGAUUAUGCUCAUGCAGUGGCUCUCUAUACUAAGCAAUGGAGACUGACCAUGAUGAUCCAACCUUGUAUGCCAAGAGGAGCCUCUGCUGGCUGCAUAUGAAUGAAGAAGACAAGGCUUUGGAUGAUGCUAACACCUACAAAGAUAUGGAGCUGGAUGUAUCAAAAUCCUGCUAUGAGCAAGGAGCAGCUCUGAUACUGACGAAGGGGGGAGCAUGAAGCAUCCCUGAACAAAGGUCGUUUCUGCACGGACAACAAGGUAUCCGUGAGAUUGUGUGGGCGGGGAUGUCUUUUCUCCGGAUCCUGCAUUUUCUUUUCACUGGAGGAUGUCCAUAUUUUUACGAAGAAACCAUAGAAACCGGAGGCAUAUGUAUUACCUAACAUCGAUUCGUAUCUGGGGAUGUGCCUAGCUUAGAUAAUGCUCAACCGUGAAUGUUACGUGUGACUUGUGGUUUGCCUUGCUAAAUCAUGAACUUCUGUCAGUAUCUCAGAUAAUCCCAACCGCAUAGAAAUAGAGUUUUACCGUUCAUGAGGUCUACGUUCUAAAUCAAGACGCAAUACAUUCGUCUAUCUAGCAAUGCGAUUGUGCUAGUAUUUAUAAAAUUAUACUCCUAUAUUUUUAUCAGUAGCUUUUGUACAUAUGCAAUUUGCAUUCCUACUCAUGGCUCCAGGGUCCAGGCUGUCAGCUAAUCCAGACGAAUAAUAAA